GAUGAACGCUGGCGGCGUGCCUAACACAUGCAAGUCGAACGGAUAAGGCCUGCUUGUGUGUGGUGCUCGCGUCGCAAAGGUGAGUGAAACAUGUGAAUAACCCGCCUCUGACUGUGGGAUAACUUGAAAAAACUGGUGAUAAUACCGGAUUGGAGCUCCUGCUGCUUGGUGGGGGUAGGAAAGUUUCGGCGGUGGGGGAUGGACUCCCGGCUUAUCAGCUUGUUGGUGGGGUAGUGGCUUACCAAGGCUUUGAAGGGUAGCCGGCCUGAGAGGGUGACCGGCCACAUUGGGACUGAGAUACGGCCCAGACUCCUACGGGAGGCAGCAGUGGGGAAUAUUGCACAAUGGGCGGAAGCCUGAUGCAGCAACGCCGCGUGCGGGAUGAAGGCCUUCGGGUUGUAAACCGCUUUCAGCUGUGACGAAGCGUGAGUGACGGUACUGGCAGAAGAAGCACCGGCUAACUACGUG
rnacentral:rRNA from 1 species